rnacentral:rRNA from 1 species
ACGCUCGACACCUACGGAGGCAGCAGUCGGGAAUAUUGCGCAAUGGAGGAAACUCUGACGCAGUGACGCCGCGUGCAGGAAGAAGGUUUUCGGAUUGUAAACUGCUUUAGACAGGGAAGAAAAAGGACAGUACCUGUAGAAUAAGCUCCGGCUAACUACGUGCCAACAGCCGCGGUAAUCUGAGCGGGCUGGCAAGGC